GACGAAGGGGGCUAGCGUUGUUCGGAAUUACUGGGCGUAAAGCGCGUGUAGGCGGUUGUCCAAGUCGGGUGUGAAAGCCUUGAGCUCAACUCAAGAAAUGCACUCGAUACUGGGUGACUUGAGGACCUGAGAGGAUAGUGGAAUUCCCAGUGUAGUGGUGAAAUACGUAGAGAUUGGGAAGAACACCAGUGGCGAAGGCGGCUAUCUGGACGGUUUCUGACGCUAAGACGCGAAAGCGUGGGGAGCAAACAGG
rnacentral:rRNA from 1 species